GAUGAACGCUGGCGGCGUGCUUAACACAUGCAAGUCGAACGGAAAGGCCCAAGCUUGCUUGGGUGCUCGAGUGGCGAACGGGUGAGUAACACGUGGGUGAUCUGCCCUGCACUUUGGGAUAAGCCUGGGAAACUGGGUCUAAUACCGGAUAGGACCAUCGUUUAGUGUCGGUGGUGGAAAGUUUUUCGGUGUGGGAUGAGCUCGCGGCCUAUCAGCUUGUUGGUGGGGUAAUGGCCUACCAAGGCGUCGACGGGUAGCCGGCCUGAGAGGGUGUACGGCCACAUUGGGACGGAGAUACGGCCCGGACUCCUACGGGGGGCAGCGGGGGGGAAUAUUGCACAAUGGGGGCAAGCCUGAUGCAGCGACGCGGCGUGGGGGAGGACGGCCUUCGGGUUGUAACUCCUUUCGCCAAGGACGAAGCGUUUUGUGACGGUACUUGGAGAAGAAGCACCGGCUAACUACGUG
rnacentral:rRNA from 1 species